rnacentral:lncRNA from 1 species
AUUGCAAGAGAUUGGUCAAGUGAGAUGAUAGGAAGAAGCUACAACAGGCCCAAGAGGGCAGUUAGGAAGCCCACGUACCUUGAGGAUUAUGCUUGAAGGUCUUAGUGCUGCUUGCUCUGCAAAAUCACUUAGAGAAACUAUUAGUGGAAUUCUCUUACUAGUGGAUUAGCAUUUCUGUUAUGCUUUUUACCUGCUUUUGCCAUUUUGUGAAUGGCUAAUGAUUAUCUUUUCUAUCUUUAUACUCGUGUAGUAGCCUAUAAAUACAUGAAAGAUUAAUAAAAUGAGCAAGUAUUAUCCUCUGCAAAUUUCCUUAUGAGUAGAAUUUAAGUAGUUCAUGGAGACAUACCUUGUCCUCGAACUCAAGGUUAACUAGUGCCAAUUCCUAACAUGAGAUGGCUCAAAAGAGACUUUAAUUUGUUAGUACAGUAAACUGGAGUGUUUGUCGGCAUCUCAUAAUUAGAAAAAAACCAAAACCCUAGCAAGCUUCAAGGUAUAUAUUUCUAAGUUUGUUUCAUGCAUUAGAUUCAUCUUUUUAACUAGUUCAUCAAAGAUCUAAUUAUCUGCUUUUAUGAAACAAUAAGAAUAAGAAAGGAUUGAUUUUUUUUUUAUUCUUUAAUUUUAAUUAUUUAAUGAUGAAGCCCUGAAAUAUAUGCCAUGCUUUGAGAUGGUUGUGAAUAUCCUGGCAAGAACUUUUUGGUUACGUUAGCUACCUGUCAGAAAAUGCUCAAACAAGACGAAUUAAGCAAGCAUAUACAAUCAUAUCCCCCUAUUUUUUUGUUUAUUUUUUAUUAUUUUGUUUUAGAGAGAUAGAGAAAGAGGGACGGAUCAUUGAUUGUAUUUGUAGGCACGUAUAGCUUGAAUGCAAAGAUAUAUAUUCCAACACAUACAUUUGUACGGUUGCACUUGAAGGAAGCAUGAAUUAAUGCUGGAUUGUAUAUAUACCGUCUUUGGAUUUGCACAUGUGGACGCAUAUGCUUUUGUUCUCUCCCUCCACAAUUCCAGUUCCAGUUCCAUCUUCAUGAAUCAUAUGUUUAAGUGGAAGUACAAAACAUAUACUCUUCAUUGAGUUUAAACUUAUUUAUGAAAAAAUAAACAUUUUUUUUGUUUAUUUGGACCAGUUUAUUUAAAGUUAAAAAGUAUUAAAAUAAGUAGUUUUCUAUUUUUUUGGUAUUUUAUCUAUACUUCUUCUGUUUAAAAAAUAACAAUAUUUUACUUAUUUUGAGAAACAAAUUCUACCUGUUUAUAUAUUGGUCAUACUCACUUUGCCUUUUGACGGCUGUUGGACCAAAAAAAAAAAUGCCUUUAAUCGCAAAAGCAGGACAACAGAACAAAGGCUUAACCCCAUUUCCCCCUAAAAUGAAUUAGGGCAUUCCUAUUGCUACUCAUAGAAUUUGUAUUGACACUACCAAGUCUUAGUAAAUGAUCAUUUUAUCUUUCUG